rnacentral:lncRNA from 1 species
CUUCACCAAUCUUUUCCAUUUCAUUUCUCGAUUCAUCCCCAACACUCACACACACAGUGUGUGUGACAAAUUACCCAAUUCACAAUUCAAAACCCUAGGUUUCAUCCCCAAAUCAUGUGGAGAAGAGUUUCUACGCAUCUCCGACCUCUCGCCGUCUCUCGAUCCGCGCAGCGGCCUAAUCGCUCCAUCGCUCCUGGCGUUUCCUCCUCUACGCCGUCGUUUCGCCCCGCCGCUUCUCUUUUCUCUCGCUCUUUCACCGCUCCCGCAGGUAAUCUCUCUACAUCUGCUCGUCUCUGUGCAUCUGUUUAUGUAUGUGUGUGUAUAUGACUUUUUAUGUUUAGGAGGCGGUGUUUUGAGCAAGAGAGUUGAAGAUGUAAUGCCGAUUGCUACUGGUCAUGAACGUGAGGAGCUUGAAGCUCAGCUUCAAGUCAGUAAUUUCGCUCGUUUUUCUUUACAAUUCUGUUAUUAUUUACUCGGCCAUUUUGGAAAUUGUAAGCAAAUCUUUUAUCUUUUUUGCGGUUAGGGACGGGAUAUUCUCGAUAUUAACUAUCAUGAAGGUCCUUUUGGCACAAAGGUUAGUGUUUCUGAUUUUCUUGUCUAUAACUUACGAGUAAUAAUUAUUGAUUACUGUACUUGGUUUUUAUUAUAUCAGAGAUAUCGUGUUGUUUUGUUUAGCUCAGGGUAAAUUGUUAUCUGUUGUUAGGUAUCUUGUUUGUGUUUUAAAUUGCUAAGGUGCUCCUAAAAGUUUUAAUAUUUUUGUAUCAAAGUGCUGAUAUGUACGAAAAGUUACUGCUUGCACUAGAUGUAUGGGUAUGUAUGAUUAGACUUUCAUGAUAAUGUAUGUGAGAAAACACAGACUUAGCUGAUGAAAUGAGAUAUACCUGUAUAUGGUGAGUUAGUUAUGUGUAUAGCGGAACACUUAUAUGAACUUGUGAGAUUUGCUUGCUUACAGUUUUGUGUAGUUUUAGGAGUGUGGUCACUAAGCACCUUGUUUAUAGGUUUAUCAUGUCGUAGCAACUUUUCCGGCAUGCUUAUCUCGAUGAGAAGAAUGCCUGCUAGUAGAGGUUUACAAGAAUCGUAAAAGUGUAACUGACUGCUUGUGUGUGUGUGUGUGGGUGGGUGGGACUAAUGUUGUUGGGUAAGAAGGCGGCCCACCUAAAACCAUUUCUGUUGUGACCUAUACUUGUUAAUUCCGACUUAUUUCCAGCCACUGACUUCAGCUGACAUAGUUGUCUUCUCUAUUAUUUUAUACGUGGAAGUAAACGAUCCAUCACCGUUCUAUAUGUUCAGUGAGUGGUAGGGGUGGAAAUAAAUGACCGGUGCGAGUACUUAUGUUUUCAUAUGUAUAUUCUGUAGAUGGACACGUGAUUGUGUGUAUUAAGUAAUGCCGCUCAGACUCUACUCGUGAACAAAAUUAUGUGAAUGUGUAUAUAUAGUUAUUAUGGACAAUUGUUAACAAAUUUCAUUCCUUCCUCCAUUCCAUUCCUUAGAUUAUGUGCUAGAGAUCAUACCUUCAAUUUGAGAUGGAAUGCUCCAUUCUCUCCUACCCCCAAUUUCUUCUCAAAUCUCAUCAUAGCAAUUUUGCCUCACUUACAUUUAUUCCAAAACUUCCCUCCUAUCUCUAUUAGUUCCAAAUAAUUUUACUCAUUCCAUUCUAUUCCAUUCACCGCAACCAAACACAACAUUAUACUUCAAUUGAGGGAGUAGUUGUCAUGGUUAUAUACUUAUACUUCAAUUUUAAGUUUUAAUUACCCAAGUACUCCCUAGCUGGUUUCUGCAUUUAGAUUUCCAUGCUUGAAGAAUGUUGGUUGUUAAAAAGCCUGCAAGGACGUGAAAAUGAGAUUCUGACAGGAUACAUGGUAUAAUUACAUAAAUUUAUACUCAAAAAAAUUAAUAUUACCAGCAUAUUAGUUUGACUAUUAUUAAAUUACCAAAAAUAAAAAAUAAAAAAUUCGGAGCUACACUAUUUCAUUAUUUUGCAAUAAUAUAAUAAAAUUUUAAUAUAUUUAAAAAAAUGAAGCAAGCGACAAAAAGGCAGAAUAUAAACGGUAAGCCAAACCAACCUUCACCAAUCUUUUCCAUUUCAUUUCUCGAUUCAUCCCCAACACUCACACACACAGUGUGUGUGACAAAUUACCCAAUUCACAAUUCAAAACCCUAGGUUUCAUCCCCAAAUCAUGUGGAGAAGAGUUUCUACGCAUCUCCGACCUCUCGCCGUCUCUCGAUCCGCGCAGCGGCCUAAUCGCUCCAUCGCUCCUGGCGUUUCCUCCUCUACGCCGUCGUUUCGCCCCGCCGCUUCUCUUUUCUCUCGCUCUUUCACCGCUCCCGCAGG